ensembl:piRNA 21ur-10425 ncRNA
UAUUAUUUACUACGAGGAUGA